rnacentral:lncRNA from 1 species
GCAAAAAAUAACUGCUCGGUACUCAUUUCAGACAUAUCUACUUAAUGGUGUAUAACUGGGUGGCUUUCCCUGUAGAUCAAGUAGCAGUUAGCUUCCUCUGGUUUUAAAGUUGUACUACAGAUCUGAAUGGAUAAAGCUGCAUCUUCUAUGCACGCAGUUGUUCACAGCAAAGUUACUGUGCUCAAAUGCCAAAAGUCAGUAUCCACAUAUCUCUGAGGUAUUUGUGUGUAUGUGUUACACGGGUAAAAGCAACUUCAUUGAAACCCUCGUGGAAGCCACAACUUCUAAUUCUAAAAGUAUUUACACUUGUGCUUAUUCCUAAGCGUGUAGGUAGUUCCAUUCAGAUGGCCUACUUAUGUGCUUACAGAUAAGCUGUCAUUUAAAUGUUUGCAUUUGCAAGACCAGUGUUUGCAAAUUGAAGUGUAUUCAUUCAUGUUAUUUUUAUAAAAUAUUUUUAAUAAUUUCAUAAUAAUGAAAUAAAUAUUCAGCAACACUUUGUACAGAAUUUUCUGCAACCCCUUGUUGCUUAUUUUGCCUAAACUUAAAAGCAUCAAAACCCCUUUACACUCUUUUUUUUUUUUUUUUUUGUCUAAGUACAUACUAGGUAUCCAGACAGUACUAUACUCAGAAACUGAUUUUAUUACAGUAUUAAGUUGAUGUGGUCUUUUGCUGAGCAGUGCUUAUAUAAUCUACACCAAAGUGAAGAAUUUCCCAUUAACAACAUUAUUUUUCAAUAGGGCUUCACACAAAAAAAGAACACACUGGAAGAAUAAAAUUUCUCACUUAUUUUGAUUCCACAAAGGGAAUAUGACAGUACAGUGUACCGUAUUGUUAGUGUUAUAUUAUGCACAAAUAUUUGACUUGCUACAUAAAAAUGUUAGUUUUAAAUCUGUGCCUUAAUAGUGACCAGUUAUCUGUAAAUAUAGAGCAGAUACAGAUUGUAUUUUUGUGGGUUGUGUCCUUUUAGUGAUUUUUUUUUUUUUUAAUAAAAGAUGAAAUUAAAACAUUAAAAAUGGGAAUUUUCAAAACUAAUCAAUGUUACAUAAAAUAAAUUUAUAUAACUCCCUUGUAUUCUGAUUGGUCAAUGAAGUAUUUUUUUAUAUAGACCCAGUUCCAGGGAUGCUUGCUUUGUUAAUAAAAUAUAAAA